CCUACGGGCGGCUGCAGUGGGGAAUUUUCCACAAUGGGCGAAAGCCUGAUGGAGCAACGCCGCGUGUGUGAUGAAGGUUUUCGGAUCGUAAAGCACUUUCGACCGGGACGAAAAACCUCUGGCUAACAUCCAGGGGCCUGACGGUACCGGGAGAAGAAGCACCGGCUAACUCUGUGCCAGCAGCCGCGGUAAUACAGAGGGUGCAAGCGUUGUUCGGAAUUAUUGGGCGUAAAGCGCGUGUAGGCGGCUUGGCAAGUCAGAUGUGAAAGCCCUCGGCUUAACCGAGGAAGUGCGUCUGAAACUGCUGAGCUUGAGUGUCGGAGAGGAUGGCGGAAUUCCGCAAGUAGAGGUGAAAUUCGUAGAUAUGCGGAGGAACACCGGUGGCGAAGGCGGCCAUCUGGACGACUACUGACGCUGAGACGCGAAAGCGUGGGGAGCAAACAGGCUUAGAUACCCCGGUAGUC
rnacentral:rRNA from 1 species